rnacentral:rRNA from 1 species
UACAGAGGGGGCAAGCGUUGUUCGGAAUUACUGGGCGUAAAGGGCGCGUAGGCGGCCACCGCAAGUCAAUUGUGAAAUCUCAGGGCUCAACCCGGAAAGGUCAACUGAUACUGCGGGGCUAGAGUGCAGAAGGGGCAACUGGAAUUCUCGGUGUAGCGGUGAAAUGCGCAGAUAUCGGGAGGAACACCAAUGGCGAAGGCAGCUCGCUGGGACGGUACUGACGCUGAGACGCGAAAGCGUGGGGAGCAAACAGG